UGUUCGACGUAAUUUCAACGAAUGUAAGAGACAACAAAAUGUUAUCUGCGAACAGCAGGUGUCCGGAGCCCCUCUUGAUUCCUGUCUGCUAUGCAGCCUUACGUCUUUUCCAAGCCCCAUUUAUGUUGCCGUUAUUAAUUGAUGGCUUGGACCGAUGCAGAAAUUAGAAAUUGGGGAAAUGUUGUGAUCGGUUUGUAAAGAAGGACGACCCUUCCAUCAUCUGCCAAGAAAAGAAAAAAACGUGUCCUGGUGAAAACUAGUAACGUUGUCAAUAAAAUAAUUAUUUUGAC